AGCCAGUCUCUGUUGCCAUGGCACCCCUGCGGCCAAAGGAGAAAUAGAAGGCAGAGAGGGCGUCACGUAAACAGUAUCCGUCUGGCAACGCGGAAUCCACCACACAAGUUCCGGAAGCAGUCGCUUGGAGGCUCCUGUGAGUCACUCUGAAUCUGGACGUGGUAAGGAGAAAGGCACAGAACCAAGGUCGGGGCAGUGUUUAGUGUCCUGAGUUCCAGGUUCGGUGAGAGAUUCUGUGUCAAUGGAACAAGGUGAAGAGCAAUAGAGGAAGAUACUUGAUGUCCUCCUCUGGCCCCCAUAACCAGGGGUACUUCACAUGCAACAACACACACAGAGAAGAAACUAGUGGUGUGAAUGGACUGGACAUAAAACAAAUUGGAAGGUGCUACAUAGGCUGCCUGGGAAGAAAGGACAUCAAUGGUCUUACCCAGUAGUGAACCCUGAAAGCUACAAUACCAACCUACCAGGCAAGAUGUGUCCAUUGAAGCAAAAUUAGCAUGAAGAAUAUGGGAACAACCAACCCACUCACUGAUGGGAUUUGAGACCUGUUCCAUAGAAGGGAAUUCAUGUCUCAUACUACGGUUUGGGAGGUCAUAAACCUAGGAGCUGAUCCUACUACUGUUCUGCUAAAUGUAAGCCAGAGGAUGGAGAAGAAUGCAGUGAAAUAAGGUCUACUAGACAGGACGUGGCUGUUGCACUCAUGAACUCACUGCAGCUACGGUUCCCUGCCCAAGGCCCAUCAGACAACAUUCCAGCAAACAACACUAGUGAGACUCAGUGAGUUACAAUAAUAAAAUAAAAGAAGCCAUGAAGGUGGGAAGAGGACAUAUUGGGACGUCUGAGGGAAGAAUGGUGAGUCAAGCGAUCAAGAUUCAUUGUAUAUAUGUCUAAAAAAAUAAAAAGAGGCCAACAAUAGAACUAAUCCUUCCUGUGGGGUAGAAUGGUUACACCAAGCCCAAAACAAGGGAGAAGCAUUCACAUCCCCAUGUGCUGAUUUGUCAACCUACUUACUGCACAAGAUUUCUCAUUGCACAAAGAAAAUUAAUACCCAUGUUUGGUGCUGUAAAUGACUAAGAAGGUACUGAUAAGAAAGAAGAGUGAAGACUAUAAAAAAGUAAACACAUGGUUUUUAACCUAGGCAAUCAGCAAGGAGAAAAGAAAUGCAAGUUUCUUUUAAAUGAAUUAUUGUGCCACAAAACAGGUUCAAGAAACUAAG